rnacentral:rRNA from 1 species
GACGAACGCUGGCGGCGUGCUUAACACAUGCAAGUCGAACGGUAAGGCCCUUCGGGGUACACGAGUGGCGAACGGGUGAGUAACACGUGGGUGAUCUGCCCUGCACUUCGGGAUAAGCCUGGGAAACUGGGUCUAAUACCGGAUAGGACUCCGGACUGCAUGGUCUGGGGUGGAAAGCUUUUGCGGUGUGGGAUGGGCCCGCGGCCUAUCAGCUUGUUGGUGGGGUGAUGGCCUACCAAGGCGACGACGGGUAGCCGGCCUGAGAGGGUGACCGGCCACACUGGGACUGAGAUACGGCCCAGACUCCUACGGGAGGCAGCAGUGGGGAAUAUUGCACAAUGGGCGCAAGCCUGAUGCAGCGACGCCGCGUGAGGGAUGACGGCCUUCGGGUUGUAAACCUCUUUCAGCAUCGACGAAGCGAAAGUGACGGUAGGUGCAGAAGAAGGGCCGGCCAACUACGUGCCAGCAGCCGCCGCAG